UUUCUCUCAAUAUUACCUGUAUAGGUGUGUUGGUGCUUUUUGUUUUGAAGAAAAAACAUCCAUUUCCUUCAUGUUCCAAGCCUUAUUUGAGAAAACUUCUUGAAUUACAAACCUUUGCCUCUCCUUUGUGAAGCUUUUGAUUGAGAAUUUAUUUCAGGUAAACUAAAUUAGGGCUCCUUUCUCAAUAUAUAAAAAACGUUAGGGUUUUUCCUCCAAAAAAAAAGGGUUAGGG
rnacentral:lncRNA from 1 species